AUGUCUGAGGCGUCGGUGGUAAACCAGGCGGAGGUGGAGGACGCGGCGGCGGCGGCGGCGGCCGGGCUGGACCUGCCGCCGGGGUUCCGGUUCCACCCCACGGACGAGGAGAUCAUCUCGCACUACCUCACCCCCAAGGCGCUCGACCACCGCUUCUGCUCCGGCGUCAUCGGCGAGGUCGACCUCAACAAGUGCGAGCCAUGGCAUCUCCCAGGCAAGGCCAAGAUGGGCGAGAAGGAGUGGUACUUCUUUUGCCACAAAGACCGCAAGUACCCGACGGGGACGAGGACGAACCGCGCCACCGAAAGCGGCUACUGGAAGGCCACCGGCAAGGACAAGGAGAUCUUCCGGGGGAGGGGCAUCCUCGUCGGAAUGAAGAAGACGCUCGUCUUCUACCUAGGCCGCGCCCCCCGCGGCGAGAAGACCGGCUGGGUCAUGCACGAGUUCCGCCUCGAGGGCAAGCUCACUCACCCGCUCCCGCGCUCCGCCAAGGACGAGUGGGCCGUGUCCAAGGUGUUCAACAAAGAGCUCACGGCCACCAACGGGGCAAUGGCAGCGGCGGAGGCCGGGAUCGAGCGAGUCAGCUCCUUGGGCUUCAUCACUGACUUCCUUGACUCUGGGGAGCUGCCGCCCCUCAUGGACCCUCCCUUGGGCGGCGACGUCGACGAAGUCAUCGAUUUCAAGUCCACCUCUGCCUACGCCACCGGUGCCCAUUCCGGACUCCAGGUUAAGAUGGAACAGCACAUGCCGCCGCACAUGAUGUACUCGAGCCCCUACUUCUCCCUGCCGGCCGCCAACUCCGGCGACAUGUCGCCGGCGAUCCGGAGGUACUGCAAGGCGGAGCAGGUCUCGGGGCAGACGUCUGCGCUCAGCCCGUCCCGCGAGACCGGGCUGAGCACCGACCCCAACGCCGCCGGUUGCGCGGAGAUCUCAUCGGCGGCGACACCGUCGUCUCAGAAUCAAGAGUUCCUUGACCAAUUCGACGAGUACCCCGCCCUGAACCUCGCCGACAUUUGGAAGUACUGA
rnacentral:rRNA from 1 species